GCCUUGAGUUCAGCGGGCGGAACGCCUGACACUGGGAAGGGUUUUUUUGGGGGGGUUUGGGGGGACACCUAACCCUCGGGGACAGCACAAUCCGGGUGCCCUGGCUUCUCGGCAGGGACCCCGGGGAGGGAGGGGGGGAAUGUGUGGGGACAAGCAAAGAGAGCAGAGAAAGAGGAAGAGAGACCCCCCCCCCCCAAGCCCUCCGGGUCCACCCUUCUGCAGUCCCAACAAGGUGGCCUGGGAGCUCUCAGCGCGCUGGGUUGCGGGGCACACGCACAGCACCCCCCUCCUCUAAAAGCCCCCCAACCCCCUCCCCAGUGCCCCCCAGUCCUGCGCGGACAGUCAAGGGGGAGGCCGGGCCGGGAGCGCGGGCCCGGAGCGCUGGGGGCGGAAGCGCGGAACGGUAGAGACCUACUUUUGGCUAGCUUUCUGGCCCUCGCCUUGGAUCUCAUGUUGUCGGCUUGCUGAAUCCCUCUCCUCCUCCUUGACUCCCGAAGCUGCUACACGCUAUCUUCAUCUCCCCAGCAUUGUCAAUUCCGGACACCUUCGCACAUGCGCACAGAGCCUUCAAUCUGACACCCCUCGCCGGGGCCAAAAAAACUUUCCAAUGUAUUCACCAUCAUCACCAUCACCAUCAUCACCAUCAUCAUCAUUGGCGGCGGCGGCGCGGAGUACGGGCAGGAGGUGGGAUUGCUUUGGGGGGACAUUUUCUUUUUUCUUUCUUUCUUUUGGGGGGUGCUCUCCUCUUCCUCACCUCACUUAUCUCCCCCCUCCUUCCUUCUCCCCCUCCCCCUCCCCCUUCCCCCUCCCCCUCCUUCGCAACCACCUCUGAGGCUCUCGCGACUGGCCCUUUAAGAGGCUAUUCCGUCCUCUCUCCGCGUUCCUGCCCCCGGCCGGCCCCACAGCCCGGACGCGCUUUCACCGAAUCAAGGUACCGUCCCCGGAUCGAGGUGACUCUGAGUAAUGAUGGGGCCACCCUCCUGGAUCCCUGCGGGGCUUGCUCCCACCGGACUCGUCCUAGUCCAGGGACCUCUCGAGGGGUGAUGGGGGUGGGGUGGAGGGAGGAUAGAUGCUGGCUGCACCCCCCACACCCAGUUUCUCCUGCCCCUGUCUUUCUACCAACGCAGGCUUGCGGAUGUGAUCCCCCCUAAUUAAAAAUAUUACAAUGACCUUUCUCCACCAUGGCUUUCCCCACCUUUCUUCUCUUAGGGCUCCGGUUCUCCGGGGGCACCCCAAACUCUGGCGGGUGCCUAAGAAUCAGUAUCCCCACUCACCCUCACACUAGAAUGGUGUCCUGCUGGUUCCUGCUUUGCCCCGUUGUGUCCUCCCCUGCCCUGUCCUAUUCCGUCCCCUUCACAACCCGGGUAGUUCGAACCCCGCUUUUCUGCCUGCCCACUGCUGGUUUGCUCCCUGCUGGCACCGGCCCCGUCCAACAUCGACUGGCCUCGCAAGCCUUCCCCGGCUCCUAGUCUCCUCUCCGACCCCAGCGGCCCCUAGUCAGAACCCCCCGCUCCCCACCUCCUGCAGCGUUAGAGACAAACGGAGCAACAGCACUCUGUUAGGGUCUCGAGGCCGCGGAGCUUGCUACCCCGGGCCUGGGCGAAGGUCUUUUGGGGAGAGAGGAGGCAAGGACGGGAAGGGGCGAGAAUCGCUGGAAAACCUUUGGUGCGCGGAGGAGUUGGGGGACCCCGAAGGGGCUGGGCCGGCGCGGGAAUCGCUGGAGUUCAGAGAAGCUUGGGGGUGGGGAGGGCUUGGAGUUGAAAACUCUUAAUUAGCCCGGAUAACUGCGGGACCUUUUUACACCGCCUAGUCCGGAUUCCAGGCUCCCUAAAGCCAGCUCCCCCUAGCACCUCGGCUUCUUGGCUGGGGUGAGGACCGAGCCGACAAGCAAUGGGCUGACCUGCCUGCCCCCAGGCCCCCUCAUUCGUUCUCCUACAACAAUUGCCAGACCUUGCGGCUUCUCCGCUGGGCUGUCCCGCGGAGGUGAGCACCAGGCUGCGGGGGAAUGGCGGGACGUUUAGGGUGGAACAGAUUUGUGAAGAAGCUUUAGUCAAGGGGCAGUUUGGGACACGUGUGAGAGGGGAAGCACACACACACACACACACACACACACACACACACACACACACACCUGCUUAGGGGAAGCACUGAGCUGGAGGCUGUGGGGCACAGAACCAUAAGGCUAGAGAAGGGGACGCUAGUCCGGGGUGAGCAGAAGAAAAGACGGAAAGCGGGUCCCGCGGCUAGGCCAGCAGGUGGAGGGCUCCCACAGGAAGGUGGGUGGAUUUGUCUUAAUUGGGUUUCUUCUUCCUCUGUCAGUCCCUAAUUCUUGCCGGCGCCGAGAGCCCAGCUGGGCCUGAGGCGGGCGGCCUGGGAGAGGAGGUGGUGGGCGGCGGGAGGGCUUGCCUUGGUCCUGCCGACCUCAGCUGGGAUUCCGUGGCUCGGGUAGCCAGGGUAGGGGAGAUGAGCUUGGGGAUCAGCCUGAAUGAAAGGGGUGGAGGAACCUCCAGGGAAGAAAUAGCUCCUGGCCUGGUAUUUCCCCCUGUUGGAAAUGCUCCUAAGGGAAAGAGCUGGGAAUAAAAGGGAGUUGGGCUGGAACACACUUCUGUCUGCGAAGCCCUAAGGGCUCUGGGCCUUUCUGCUACUGCUGCUCCUUUCACCCCAGUUUCCCAGGUCAGAAGGGGCCGAUUUCCCAAGGGAAGCAGGACGGAGGCACUGCAGACCAGGGCGCUCUUCCACCGGGUUCAUAACACCCUGCUCAAACUAUCCCAACCUCUUCAAUCCCUAAACCCACAGAAGUCAGAAUCUUCUCCACCCACGCUGUCCCGAUUGCUGUUCCAGGAGCUGCAGCUCCCCCUUUCCCCGGAAACCUGCAUAUUUUAAUUUACGGAGACCCAAAUAGGUGUCAAACCAAAAUUCCCACUCCUGGCCACGGAACUCACCCCCACCCCGAGAUCAGGGCCAGGUCCUGGCAGCCCAAGCAAACGAAUAGCGGGGCUCUAGAUUCCAGGCACUGGGAUGAGGGAGGGGGCAAGGAAGGUGGAGAGCCCUGGUAAUGUGGGCAACGGCCUUGACUCUUGUUCGCUCUACCUUUUCUUUUCUUUAUUCCCCCCAACAGGUACCAACCUCCAGACGCUUAGGUCUGAGGGGUAGAGAGACUUGGGGGGCAGAGGAAAUAAUAGAGCCCACUCCUUAAGGCAAGGGGGAUUGAGAUCUGAAACCAAAUAAAGCCCCUUCUUCUCCUAAUCUUCAUUCGAGAUUAGGCCCUCAAACGAAGAGUGGGUGGAUGGAGACUGGCUAAAGGGGUUUUAGGAGAAAGGUAAUAGCACCUACAGAUUCAGUGCUUUUCUCUAGCCCCUGGGAUUUCCAGCCUCAGGCAUGGAGGAAAAGGGCAAGAGGCUGAAAAAGCCUUCUUCCUAAUGAGUCUAAUUUUGUACCUCUUCUCUGGGACCUGGUCUUAGCCUGGACUAAGGGACCUUCACCUUUUCUGCUCCGUGUCAGCAGCCUCUAUCCCUGCCCAAAGACUGUCAGCGUCUCUGGUCUCGCUGCCUGUCAGCCCUGCAUUUGACCCUAGCCAGGUUGGCAGUCUCAGGAGCCAAGGGGAGCAGAAGGACAGAGAUAAAGGAGAAGGGGAGAGAAAAAUAACACGCCCGAAACACAUACAUAAAAAAAAAUAAAAGCAAUUAUUGUUGACAAUGAGGAGGAAGAAAUGCCCAUAAAGGAAGAAGCUAGGAGUAGAGGUGGGGAAGAGUAAGAGUAAGAGUAAGUAACAGCCCUCUUGCUUGCCCCACAGCCUGCAAGAGGAGCCCAAGCUUAAGGCUUCCGAUGGGGCUAGGUGCAGCUCCUCAGUCAGAUGACCAGAUUUUGGGCUGUCUGGACUAGGAUGAUCUAGGCAGGCUGAUCCCUGCAAAGAUGGCUUCCGAAUUGGGGGAGCAGAAGGGGGACAUCUCUUCCAGUAAAAACUGGCCUCUGUCCUAUGACCCUUACAAUGUAAUCUGCUCAGAAUGCCUCCCAAUACCGAAGAGCAACGAAAACAGCCCCAAUGCCCAGAAAUUCGGGGCCGUUGGUUCUUUUUGGUUUUACUCUCAGAAAGGAAAGGCUCGACGUGGGCAGAGGAAGAGCAGAUGUCGGAGAGGCCGGGAUUUCGGAGGAACCGGGUGACCAAGGGGAAAAUUCCCAGAGGCUCAAGUUGGGUCCUCUGGCUCCCCCUAGAAGAAAGUGGCCCCACAGGGCAGGAUUUCUUGUAUGCUCUGAUACAAGACUCCCCCGAGGCUGGCCUAAGAAAUAGCAGGCUCCAUUUUUGACUAGCUCUUUUUGCUGUUAGUAAGUUUAAACCCCAGGUCCCCAGCGUAUUCAAGGUCUGGGUGCCCUGGGCAGCGUAGCCCAGACACCUUCAUCCAGGCGACAGCCUCCUGAUAUGCUAAUGGGGCAAGAGAGGAAAAGGGAGCAGCUAGAAGGCAGAGGUUUAAGCCAUCUGUGGGCUCCCAGAUCACAACGGAAAAGGCCAAGCAGAAGGCCAAAGGGCAGGAAUCCAGAGCCACAAGUCAGACUAGGGGCAGCUCAGGCCCUAUAUCAACUCGUCCACAUGUCUGGCUCUCUUUCACUGUUUCUCUUUCUGGGGAAAGAGAAGCCUCAUAGCCGGGGGAAUGGGCUUAGAGCAAUUGUGACUAUCCUCCAAGUUUGCCUGGCAGAUUCAAGGUGCUGGAGAGGCUUUAACUAUCCUGGGGACUAUUAUGCACAAAUGCAGACUGGUGUGUGGCUUUUAUUUUGGGAAGGGAGAAAUCUUGUGGGGGCCAUGAUCUUAGACUCUUCGGGUUUCUGGUCCUUGGCAUUAAUCCGAGACUGUUCUUGGGAAGAAUCUUGCAAAGGAUUCCUGUAGUCCUGGGGUUUGGGGUAAAUCCUUAACAAAAUGGGUUCUUGGGAUGCUGGCUGGACAGAGGCAAUGUUGGGAUUUAGCUUGGUCUAGCUGGGAACAGCUUCCUUGCAGCCAGAUGGGAAACAGAGUCUCAGCAGAAGGGUUCCCUUGGGAUCUGAUGGGGGGGGGUUAGGAGGUUGAGCUUCAGUUCUAUUAUCAGCUCACUUUAGGGUAAAGGAGGGGAGAGGAGAAGGUUGCUGAUGGAAAGGAAGCAGGAGAGAAAGACCUGGAUGCAGGAGGGGCAAAUGCCCGCCAAGUGCCUUCUGGCCUCCACAAUUCCAUUAUUCUUUGUAGUGUUCUCUUUUCUAGGAUCUUGGACGACUUGGGUGGGAGUGAGGAAGUAGAAUGAGAAGCCGGUGAAGAAUUUUAGUUUCUCUGACACCAAAAGACUUAAUUGCGGUUUCUAAAGUGUCUCCAAGGAUCUGGAGCCCACCAGGCUUGUUGGAGACCACUAAUAUCCCCACAAAAUUGCUCCAACUGAUCUCUUCUCUUCUCUCAUCUCUGUUUCCUCUCCACCUUCCCUUGGGGACCAGGCCUUGACGAAACCCUAAGUCUGUAGUGGUCACAUAAACCAUCCCUAGGAGAAAUCGGGUAAAUAUCCGUCUUCCCUUGGGAAUUUAAUUAGUUGUUUCUCUAACGGCUGUGAAGACUAGCUUCUACGUGCCCUGCCUGGGCAUGAGGGGUGGGAUUCGAGAAGAUCAGAGGUUCAAGCAUGAGCUCCCCGUCCCCCUCAACUCCCCUCCAACAACCUUUAACAAUAGUAGAUUCUUCUUUGAAAACCUCGGGAUAGUUUCCCAUGUCCAGACGUACUUAGAGCUAACUAACCAGUUUGUGAGAUGUUGAAAUAUCUACCUGUUAGGACUUCGUGGAGCCCCCAGCCCUUUCCCGAAAGAUAAUGGCCCACCUGCUAUGGAUAUCCUGGAGGCUCCAAGGCUACAAGAGCUUUGUCCUUCAUUCUGUCUAACCGAGACUUUUUUUAAUGGGGAAAAAACAAAAUGAAAAUUUCAGCGUGACCUCGUAAGACCGUCGGACACCAGCGGUCCCACAGUAGGAAGACUUCGCUGGUUUAGGGGGUGGGUGAAAAGGAAAGCUCUCUUUUGUGUCUCCCCUGCAAAUGUCUAGGGCGAGGUGGAUCCAAUAGCCAGCAGGGGAGGAAAGUAUGGGAGAGAAAAACAGGAUAGGAGCCGGCUUUUCUUUCCUCAGAGUGGGGGUCAAAGGAAGGGGAUGAACAGCGGGGUGGAAUCCAGAAGAGCCGGCAAUUGAGGGGCAGAAACUUUACCAUAACAAUUUGAACCGGCUGCCUUCUAUCCCUAGCCUCUGGGUACCCGUUCUUCCCCUCCUCCCAGCCCUCGACUUUUUGGAUGCUUCAACCCAGUCCGGGGAAGACCGGUCAGGACCGGGGGCUUCAAGCUUCGACGAUCCCAAGACCCAGAGGGCCAGAUAAAGGAGCCGUGGUCCUGGCGGGCCGGGCCUGGCUGGUAACGGACCGAGGUAACUAAGCUUCAGGAUACGUUGCCUCCCCCCACUUUCCCUGACUUUAAAAGUACUUGGAACGUGAGUGGAGAAGUUUGGCAGUAACCAUUUUUAUAGAGACCGAAAAAAAACCCAGAGACGUCCAUUUCUGGCAUCAAACGAUUUAGGAACUUCGCGCUGGAGUGGAAACUCGGAAACAGCGAGAAGCGAAGGGAUGACACAGCUGUUUUUAAACCCAGGAGAACCUGUGCCAAGCCACCCGCCAAAGCCCACCUGCAGCCCAUGCGAGGGGAGGCCAGAGCGAGGCACGCCUUGCUCAGUCUACACUCGAACAGAGCUGUCUCAGAUGGCGUCCCCUGCCUUCCCUCGAUUCUCUGGUUCCGAUGUUCUCUCGCUCCCUUCAGGUUGCCUCAGAACGUGGGAUGAGGGGGGCGGCAGGCGUGAGCCAGAGGGACAAGGCUCGGGGGCACAGUUCUCCGCGCUGAGCCCCUAGGCUAGCACGUGGCAGGAGCUCCUUUUCCUAGCAUAGCGGAGAGUAGGCGAAUUCUCCAACUCCCUAAGGCAGCCCUGCAACAUGCUCUCAGUGAGAGGCAAGAACCCCAAAGCCUCAGAGAGACGUCCAGACUCAUGGGCCUGCCAGCCAGUGAUGGGAGGGAUUCCUGGGUCUCAGGGGCCUGUAAGGAAGCAAGGGUCUGUCUUCCUUGGGAGUAGGGAUGAACGCUCUUUCUUUUGUUAGAAGGCAGGAGCCUUCUGUAAGGGGGCUGAAAAGACUGCAUGCGACCCCUUAAAAAAAGGACUGGACGCCCCGCUGGGGCUUCCCGGGGCAAGAAUUCUCUUGGCCCAAUGCUGGUGAGUUGAGUGGUUAACUGGCUACGAAUGGAAUUAGGCAAGUAAAAACGGGAAGUUGGACCACUCAUCCCCAGCCAAGGGAGGAUGCAGGUUGAUGGUGAUGACGAUUCUGAUAAGCUCUGUGAGUCUGGAAGGUUAAAAGGAGCAAGCUGCGGAGGCCGGCAAUUCAGCGAGAGCCAACUGGGGGUUGCCCCCAACCCCCAGGAGGAGUAAUCCGCUUCUGGGCAAGCGUGGAGAAGAAAGCCCAGUUCUGGGGACAAUGGCGUGGGCGGGGGAGGAGCGGGCUGAGGAGGGGUGGAUGGGACGGUCAGAACCUUGAGGAGACCCAGCUACGGACAUUUGACAAAGACAAAGACUGCAGAAGCGCACUGUAUGCAGAGACACGCACAGCCUACGAAAUCACACACACAUUAAGGACACCCACAGACAGCACACAUACACAUAUACUCCAGACAUACACAGAGACACACUUUAGGAACCCGGAUGCAAAUUACAGAUACACAGACACACAACAGGCAUACAUCACACCCGAACGGCACACACUACCCCAUGGACACACUGGUUGAUAGAAGGAUGUAUAUGCAAGCUACAUGUGGAGCACAAGCGGACUACACACAUACUAUGACUGCAUCAUAUGUAGAUAAACAUAGAUGCACACAGCCACUACACACAUGCCUACUGCAUACAAAAAGCGGACCUCAAAGACACGCCCACAUGCAUAACGACUCGCACACACCACAGACGCACAUUUGAAUCUCUCUGGAGCGACUUCAACGAAGCCUCGCCUCUAGGAAAGUCUCUUUUCCGAACUUGGAAGGGAAAGGUUGGACAGCUCUCUGCGGAGUUCUGGACUCCUAUCCCCUAGUCUACUCCAUUAAGGCACCCUAUCAGCUCACCUGUGAACCUCUUCCUCUGGAGCCCUCAUUUUGUCGGGGAUGUUCCUGACUAGCGCUUUUACCCCCAAGGAAUGUGAAUCCAAUUGGAUCGAUUUCCCCUUUACUCUAAAAAAAGCGACUUGGUUCUCCCCACUCGGGAAAUCUUCCCUUUCUUAGACUUGGCAAUAAUGAAGCUCUAGAUCAGCUUUCGCAGUCGUUCAGACCGACCAGAAGGAGACAUCGUGGCAUAACGGAGAGGGUGUCCUGGGUCGGCAUCCCAGCUCUGAUGCCUACCUUUAUGAUUGUGGGCAAGCCUCAGUUUUUUCCUCUUUAAAAUGGGGCUGAUAUUUGUAACACCCACUUAACACAGUGUUUGUAAGAUUCAAACAGUCAUGGCUGUCAAGCUCUUUGUAAAUCUUAAAGCGAAAUAGAAACGGCAAUUAUUGAGUUUUGUUUUGUCCAAAGUUUUGUCCAAAGAUCGAUCGGCCUCCUCCCCAAUUGAACGGACUACCCAAAGCCAGUCCAAUACGUGGCUUUCCACUUCAGAGAACAAUUAAGCUGGACCGGGUUGUCUUAUGUUUUACAGCGUUUCGUUUGCCUGCGUGCUUGGAGUCUGGGGUUGGGUCUCUCCAAGAGGCACCAGGCACCCUUCAAUCUUUAAUAACAGAAGGGCUGAAAAAACCCAAACCAAAACAAACAACAACAAACCCCCCAAAGGACCCGCGCCUGGAGAACUCGAAGGAUGGAAUCCGAGCUCCUGCGAGCUUCCUCUAUUGACCUCUGACUAGACGUCCGCCCCGAUUCCCUUUUCCUCUUUCUUCCUCUCCCCAACGUAUCCCCUCCCCAGUAGAUGCCCACAUCCAACUUUCUUAGAGAGCGCACUCGAAGCCCGCCAACCAACGAGCGCUGGAGCCUCUGCUCCACUCCAUGGAGUUUUCUUAGCCCCCGCGACGCUGCGGAUUUUAGCCUGCCUCUCUUUGUUUAUCGCUGGCGAGAAAGACCAAAUACCUCUCCAGCGGCGCUUAUUGUGUUCUCGCAAUCCUUUCCAGAGCCUACCGGGCUAGGCCAGGUGCGCAGGCGCCAGUGCCCGCAAGCAAAGUCCGGGCAAGUUUUCAAAUUCUAGGUUGGGCGCCCUGGAUGCUAAGCACCUCGGAGAAUGACUAUCCCAAGGCACCUUGCAGCCCUAACCUCAGCUAAGCCUCUCCAAAGCCCUGCAAGCCGGGCAGGACAGGGAAGGAAUUAUGUUCCCCAUUUGGCAGUUUGGGUAACUGAGGCUCCGAGGGGAUUUGGCUUGCUUAAGGUCACGAGUUGGUAAUAGAGCCGGGAAGAGAAUUCAGAUUAAGAUAAAAAGUUCAGAGAUGCAAGGGAUUGAGAAGUCAUCUCGCCCAAAGCCCUCAUUUUACAGAUGAAGAAACCGAGGUCCAGAAAGGUUACCCAGGAAUUAUUUCUAUAGACUUUAACCUCCUUCCUAGAUGGACUGGUCAUGAGUUUUGAAAGAGGACUGAGAGACAGCCUGUGUUCCUGAGCCUGGAGGCCAAAGACAAAUGGGACAAAUACUUAAUAAGGACUGAAAAUGUGUGAGGUCCUUGGGCUGGGCAAUGAGCAGGAUAUAGUCAGUUAAUCAUUCAUUCAACAAACUGUAACUUUGCCAAGUCAGAUAGACUUCAAAUGACUUCACUGAGAAGGAGGGGAGGGGCAGAGAUCCUUGCUGUUUUUCUUGCCAAGUACUUUGUCCAUUGGAUCCUGGGUACUUCAGGGAGCAGAAGAAAAAAAUCCUUGCCCAUCAUGGUUUUAGCUAGCCCUUGUGAUGUAGUCUACCAUUUCUCCUCCCAUUUGGACCAAUUCUAGGAACUUAAAAACCUUGAUUUUGCAAAGUAUGAGUUCAUAGUUUCUUUUCCUUCCUUAUGUUUGGGAUAGACAUUUCCCUAGAUCCCCAACAGAACCUUUAAAUUUCCCUACAGGUAUAAAUCUGAGCUUUAAUAACAGUAAUGAUGCAGGGAACAUUUCUAUGGCUAUUUUAAUUUUUAAAGGGAUUCAAUUCAAAACAAUUCCCAAUUUUAAUAUAUGAUAGGUUUGGCUAAGAGUGGAUCAAUUCUUGUGUGACUUUCAGAACAUAUAACAUUGGACAGCUAUUUGGCUCAGUGGAUUGAACACCAGGCUUAGUGGUUGGAGGUCCUCAGUUCAAAUGUAACCAUAGAUGCUUCCUAGAUGUGUGACCCUGGACAAGUCACUUGACCCCAGUUGCCUAGCCCUUACUGUUCUUCUGUCUUGGAACUGAUAGGAUUCUAAGACAGAAGAUAAAAUUUAAGAAAUAAAAAGAACAAAUAUAUAUAGUAUCUAGGAAACAAGAAAGAGGAGAAAUCUUGGCUCCAAGGAGCAAGAUGAGAGAUAAGGAAUCAUUGAUGUGAUAUGACAGUCAUUUAGCUCCAAUCUUUUGCACUAGCUCUAUUGGGAACUGCAUUUCUCAUUGUCAUGUCUUUCUUUGCACAAACAAUCAUGGUAUCAUAUACCUUGGAUUCAGGGCUAGAGAAGUCCUGUACAUAUCACUGAACCCCUAACAGAUAAGGAAAUGGAGACUUAAGAAGCUAAAUGAUUUCCACUUCAAAAAGUCUGAGUGGUAGGUCUUUUUAUAUCAAUGUGAGUUGUUAAACUUAUUACUUUCUUUCAAAAAUGGGGCUCAGUAUGCUGAGGGGUCCAGGUCUAGUUUUUUGAACAAAAAUGAAUCAACCACAUUUUAGUCUAUAUAAGCAGUGGUCUUGAGUGGAUGUCUGUGCCUGUGUUUUAAAAGAUUAAUUAAUUUGUUGCUUGAAGCAACUUGUGGGAGAAUGGGGAUUUUCAGUUGAGGGAAAGGACUUGACCAAGUUUUCCAACCGUUCUGUGUUUUUGUGUUAUAAUCAUCUCAGCUUCAACUCUGCCUCUAAUUUUUAUAGCUGGAGCUGCUUAUCACAGCCCCAACUUUCACUAAAAGCAGGGAGUUGGGGAACUAUCACUUAAACAAAACCAUUCAAAAUUUCCCAUCAUCUGGGGCUUUAACACAAAUAAAUCCUCCAGAAUACACUUUAUAUUCCUGGAGUGAUGUCAUUCAUUGAAGCCUGGCUUCCUCCAUCCAACCAGCAAGGGGUGAUUUUCCUCUUUUCUAAGUAAGAAAAACACAUUCUAGCAUAGAGAUUCUUUAUUUUCUCUGCUAUCAUUCACAUGCUUAGAAAGGAGCUCUGUUUGCUGCCAGUCUGACAUUCUUUUUUGUCUGAUGUUCCCCCCCCCCACCCCCCAUAUCCAUCUACAGUAAAAACUUUUAAUGAUUAAAAGCUUUAAAAUAUUUAAUUGUUUUGGGAAAAUAAUUUUAAAAAAUUUUAGAAGCUUAAAGAAAGGCAUCUGUAUUUGAAUAAUUUGAUGCUAUACUUGAUCUUAGCCAAAAGGCAGAGAAGCGAUAUGAAUGAUGAUGAAUAGUUUGAAAGUUGCAAGCUGUUGUAGUUUUCUCCAAGAUUCCAUAGAACAACCCAGGAGCUCCAAAAGACCUAGUAAGUGUUAGGUACACUUAAUAAACUGAACAAACCCAUGGAUUUGAUUUGUGUCUUUCAACACUAAAAGAUAUCCCUACAUUUGCUUUUGUUUGUUAUUGUUAUUGUUGACCAGGUUAUAAAAUAUGGCAAAUUGUCUCACUUUUAGCUCCUACAGAUCUUGAACUGAAAAAAAAAUCUCAUAGGUCAUGAAACAAGACAUGCAAAUACCUAAGAGAUAACAGAAUAUGAGCCCUUCAUUAUACAGUUAUGGAGAUGGAGUUUCAUUGAUUUGUCUUCAAUUACAUAGAUAGCCAGUGGUAGAGCUGGAAUUCAAACCUCUAUGUACAAACUCUUAAAUCUUACACUGUUAGCAUCAUACUAUAUUGCCCUUAUUUGGGUCUGAAUCUCUCUUGGAUCCCAUUACAUGGAUAGAUAGGAGUUGGGAGACAGGAAACAUGUGAAGACUGGGGACUGAACCAUAGAAAGGAGAGGAAUUAUAUUGGAAAGGUUGCUCCGGUCCAGGUGUGUAUCUUGCAUUCCCCCCUUUCCUCUAUCAUGGGGAACCAUUGGACUUUAAUUAGAGUAGGGAAGUGAAAUGGUCAGCCUCAUACCCUAGGAAGACUACUUUGGCAGAUGGACCAGAGGGGAAGAAAUUUAAGGUCAGUGGGAUUUGUAGCUCUCAUGUAGGAAGUCCUACUUAGGCUCCAAAUUAAAAGUUGAUUAUCCUUGAUGAAAUGCUCCUACACACUUAUUUCUCAAUGAGACUAUUUUGAUUGUCUUGUCCCAGAACAUGGGUGAUUUCAUUCAUGAGAUCCAUGAAUCAUUAAAAGAGAUCAGCUUAAUAAUCCUUAAGAAAAAAACCCCUAUAUGAAUAAAAAAAAUGCCUGCUUAUAGACCUCCUUGAGGAGUUUCCUCCUGCCCAGACUCAUCAGAUAUUAGUGUCUUCCUCUCUAAAGUCAUCUUCUGUCUUCUCUGUAUUUAUCUUAUGUAUGUUGAUUUAAAGAUAUUAUUGUUCCCGUUAGAAUGUAAGCUUCUUGAAGGCAGGGUUUUUUUUCCUUUUCUUUCUUUUGUACUCAGAGAUUACCACAAUUCUGGAAUGCAAUAAUUGAUUAUUAAAUGCUUCUUUAAAAUUUUGA